GACGAACGCUGGCGGCGUGCUUAACACAUGCAAGUCGAACGGUAAGGCCCUUCGGGGUACACGAGUGGCGAACGGGUGAGUAACACGUGGGUGAUCUGCCCUGCACUUCGGGAUAAGCCUGGGAAACUGGGUCUAAUACCGGAUAGGACCCUGGGAUGCAUGUCCUGGGGUGGAAAGCUUUUGCGGUGUGGGAUGGGCCCGCGGCCUAUCAGCUUGUUGGUGGGGUGAUGGCCUACCAAGGCGACGACGGGUAGCCGGCGUGAGAGGGUGACCGGCAAGACUGGGACUGGGAGAGGGCCCAGACUCCUACGGGAGGCAGCAGUGGGGAAUAUUGCACAAUGGGCGCAAGCCUGAUGCAGCGCCGCCGCGUGAGGGAUGACGGCCUUCGGGUUGUAAACCUCUUUCAGCACCGACGAAGCGCAAGUGACGGUAGGUGCAGAAGAAGGACCGGCCAACUACGUGCCAGCCGCCGCAGUAA
rnacentral:rRNA from 1 species